rnacentral:rRNA from 1 species
AUUGAACGCUGGCGGCAUGCCUAACACAUGCAAGUCGAACGGCAGCACAGCCGUAGCAAUACGGUGGGUGGCGAGUGGCGGACGGGUGAGGAAUGCAUCGGAAUCUGCCCGAUCGUGGGGGAUAACGCAUCGAAAGGUGCGCUAAUACCGCAUGAGAUCGAGAGAUGAAAGCGGGGGACCGCAAGGCCUCGCGCGAUCGGAUGAGACGAUGCCGGAUUAGCUAGUUGGCGGGGUAAAGGCCCACCAAGGCGACGAUCCGUAGCUGGUCUGAGAGGAUGAUCAGCCACACUGGGACUGAGACACGGCCCAGACUCCUACGGGAGGCAGCAGUGGGGAAUAUUGGACAAUGGGCGCAAGCCUGAUCCAGCAAUGCCGCGUGUGUGAAGAAGGCCUUCGGGUUGUAAAGCACUUUUAUCGGGAGCGAAAAGCGGACGGUGAAUACCCGUCCGUGCUGACGGUACCCGAGGAAUAAGCACCGGCUAACUUCGUGCCAGCAGCCGCAGUAACAC